UUUUCUGAUUCACUGGACUCUAUUUCUUGCGCCGCCUCCUGAGCCACCUAACCUAACAUUUGGUGCCUUGAAACCCGGGUGGCGCGAGCACUCCAUUUGGCCGUCCCUCCGCGGCUCGGGGUGCCCGCCUCUCCCUCCUCGUGGCUCUGGACCCAUCAGGACCUCAUUUCUUCAGCUCGGCAACUUUUCCCAAUUUGGCAGCAUCAGCGGCUCACCGAGUGCCUCCCACCAUCCCCGAAGAAGAUUCGGCGACACCAUCCAGGACCGGAUGACCCAUCAUUCCUCACAGGCUCUUACCUGGCAAGCGACCCUCCAAUUUUGCUCAGGUUUUUCAUAUUUUCAGGGGAAACAGAUACGGAAUGAUGAGGGAGUCAUCAAUUCUACUGUCUGGGAUGGGAAAUCCUCUAGUGUCACUCUCUACUUACAAACCCUGGACCUACUCCUACGCCCACACUCAUCAACACAACUUUCCAUCUACUCUCUAACAUCAAUCCCUCCUCUACAUCCUGCUGGAUUCGUCUGUCACUGGCUUGAACCCUCAUCAUAGCCACUCAAUUCCAACCUAUUGGACCAUCUAACUAAAUUCUCUCUAGAAAUUCACAGCUCCUGGACCGGACCUCCUGCCCAUGGCCUUGACCAGAAGUCCGGGCUACACCAAGGAGCCCCACUUUCCUGAGCCCUUUUGACCCUUCUUGCUCAACCACUGUCUCCUUACUGAUCCCCCUCCCCUGGGUACGUAUCUCCCAUAUCUGUCUUUACCCAGGCAAUUGCUCCGAGAACACGAGAACAGGUUUCUGCCCAAGCCAGAGCCGACCGACCAGGACUCCCAGGACCCCCAGGACCAGCCCUUCACCCUGGUGACUCAGUCCUCCUUAAGAACCUACAUCCACAAGCCUUGGAGCCUAGGUGGACAGGACUUCACACUGUAAUCCGCACAGCCCCCACUGUGGCCAAGCUGCUUGGUGACCCCGGCUUGACGACCUGUCCUGGCACCGCUUCUCCAGAGACCUGUCC